GAUGAAGAACGUAGUGAAAUGCGAUAAGUAGUGUGAAUUGCAGAAUUCAGUGAAUCAUCGAAUCUUUGAACGCACAUUGCGCCCCUUGGUAUUCCAUGGGGCAUGCCUGUUCGAGCGUCAUUUGUACCUUCAAGCUUUGCUUGGUGUUGGGUGUUUGUCUCGCCUCUGCGUGUAGACUCGCCUUAAAACAAUUGGCAGCCGGCGUAUUGAUUUCGGAGCACAGUACAUCUCGCGCUUUGCACUCAUAACGACGACGUCCAAAAGUACAUUUUUACACUCUUGACCUCGGAUCAGGUAGGGAUACCCGCUGAACUUAAGCAUAUCAAUAAGCGGAGGA
rnacentral:misc_RNA from 1 species